rnacentral:rRNA from 1 species
UACGUAGGGCGCAAGCGUUGUCCGGAAUUAUUGGGCGUAAAGAGCUCGUAGGCGGUCUGUCACGUCGGAUGUGAAAGCCCGGGGCUUAACCCCGGGUCUGCAUUCGAUACGGGCAGACUAGAGUGUGGUAGGGGAGAUCGGAAUUCCUGGUGUAGCGGUGAAAUGCGCAGAUAUCAGGAGGAACACCGGUGGCGAAGGCGGGUCUCUGGGCCGAUACUGACGCUGAGGAGCGAAAGCGUGGGGAGCGAACAGG